UACGUAGGGGGCAAGCGUUGUCCGGAAUCAUUGGGCGUAAAGCGCGCGUAGGCGGCCCUGUAAGUCCGUUGUGAAAGUCAAAGGCUCAACCUUUGAAUGCCGAUGGAUACUGCAGGGCUAGAGUCCGGAAGAGGCGAGUGGAAUUCCUGGUGUAGCGGUGGAAUGCGCAGAUAUCAGGAGGAACACCAAUAGCGAAGGCAGCUCGCUGGGACGGUACUGACGCUAAGGUGCGAAAGCGUGGGGAGCGAACAGG
rnacentral:rRNA from 1 species